AUGCUUGCUUUACAGUCCCAUAUACUAAAAGUGAAAUGAUACAAAAAAGAUGAACAUGAACCCUGCACAAGGAUGUUGCAAAUUUGUGAAAUGUUCCAUAUUUUU
ensembl:snRNA U6 U6 spliceosomal RNA